rnacentral:rRNA from 1 species
UAAUACGAAGGGGGCUAGCGUUGCUCGGAAUUACUGGGCGUAAAGGGAGCGUAGGCGGGUUAUCAAGUUGGAGGUGAAAGCCCAGGGCUCAACCUUGGAAUUGCCUUCAAAACUGAUAACCUUGAGUAUGGGAGAGGUAAGUGGAACUCCGAGUGUAGAGGUGAAAUUCGUAGAUAUUCGGAAGAACACCAGUGGCGAAGGCGACUUACUGGACCAUUACUGACGCUGAGGCUCGAAAGCGUGGGGAGCAAACAGG